rnacentral:rRNA from 1 species
CCUACGGGAGGCAGCAGUGAGGAAUAUUGGGCAAUGGACGCAACUCUGACCCAGCCAUGCCGCGUGAGUGAAGAAUGUUUUCGGAUUGUAAAGCUCUUUCUGUUGUGACGUUGAUGACGGUAGCAUCUAAAGAUGCCCCGGCUAACUUCGUGCCAGCAGCGGCGGUAAUACGAAGGAGGCAAGCGUUGUUCGGAAUUACUGGGCGUAAAGGGAGUGUAGGCGGUUUAGUAAGAUAGUGGUGAAAUCCCAGAGCUUAACUUUGGAAUUGCCAUUAUAACUAUUAGACUAGAAUUACAGAGAGGAUAGUGGAAUACGCGGUGUAGAGGUGAAAUUCGUAGAUAUUGGGUAGAACACCAGUGGCGAAGGCGACUAACUGGCUGGACAUUGACGCUGAGGCUCGAAAGCAUGGGGAUCAAACAGGAUUAGAUACCCCAGUAGUC